ACAAACAAAGCUUUUUAUUUGAUCUGGUUCCAUUUAUCUUUACUAAUUCAAAUAUCCUUCCCUUGUACAGGGACGUCAUUAACAAUAGCAUUCAUGGCGUAAUUCCUUUAUUUUUGCCCCCCAGUGCAACCCAUAUAAACCUGGCAUUCAAUCGGCUGAGACAGAAUAUUCCAUUCUCCUUAGCUUCCUUGAAAUCUCUCCAUUAUUUGUAAGUUCUUGUAAUGAGUGAGGUUUGUACUUACUGGCUUUUUUGGUUGCAUUAUUUAGUACCAUAUGAGCAGCAGCACCAA